rnacentral:rRNA from 1 species
AGUUUGAUCAUGGCUCAGAGUGAACGCUGGCGGCAGGCCUAAUAUAUGCAAGUCGAACGGCAGCACAGCAGAGCUUGCUCUGUGGGUGGCGAGUGGCGGACGGGUGAGGAAUACGUGGGAAUCUGCCCAGUCGUGGGGAUAACGUAGGGAAACUUACGCUAAUACCGCAUGCGCCCUUCGGGGGAAAGCCGGGGACCUUCGGGCCUGGCGCGAUUGGAUGAGCCCACGUCGGAUUAGCUAGUUGGCGGGGUAAAGGCCCACCAAGGCGACGAUCCGUAGCUGGUCUGAGAGGAUGAUCAGCCACACUGGAACUGAGACACGGUCCAGACUCCUACGGGAGGCAGCAGUAGGGAAUAUUGGACAAUGGGCGCAAGCCUGAUCCAGCCAUGCCGCGUGAGUGAAGAAGGCCCUCGGGUUGUAAAGCUCUUUUGUCCGGAAAGAAAAGCGCCGGGUUAAUACCCUGGUGUCCUGACGGUACCGGAAGAAUAAGCACCGGCUAACUUCGUG